ACCAGCUGACGAGUCCCAAAUAGGGCGAAACGCACGUCCUGGAU
rfam:Schistosoma haematobium scaffold773_32, whole genome shotgun sequence.